rnacentral:misc_RNA from 1 species
AAGUCGUAACAAGGUCUCCGUUGGUGAACCAGCGGAGGGAUCAUUACUGAGUCGUAAAAAUCUCCCAACCCAUGUGAAUUUACCUUUGUUGCCUCGGCGGGACCUACCCGGUACCUACCCUGUAGGCUACCUGUAGCCGCGGUGGUACCAUUCAACUCUUCGUUAUUUGAUGGAAUCUGAGCGUCUUAUUAAUAGUCAAAU